UACGUAGGUGGCGAGCGUUGUCCGUAAUUACUGGGUGUAAAGGGUGCGUAGGCGGUAAUGUAAGUCAGGUGUGAAAGCCCGAGGCUCAACUUCGGGAUUGCACUUGAAACUACAUAACUAGAGUACAGGAGAGGUGAGUGGAAUUCCUAGUGUAGCGGUGAAAUGCGUAGAUAUUAGGAGGAACACCAGUGGCGAAGGCGACUUACUGGACUGUAACUGACGCUGAGGCGCGAAAGCGUAGGGAGCAAACAGGAUUAGAUACCCUGGUAGU
rnacentral:rRNA from 1 species